GAUGAACGCUGGCGGCGUGCUUAACACAUGCAAGUCGAACGGAAAGGCUCCUGCUUGCAGGGGUACUCGAGUGGCGAACGGGUGAGUAACACGUGGGUGAUCUGCCCUGCACUUCGGGAUAAGCCUGGGAAACUGGGUCUAAUACCGGAUAGGACGAUGGUUUGGAUGCCAUUGUGGAAAGUUUUUUCGGUGUGGGAUGAGCUCGCAGCCUAUCAGCUUGUUGGUGGGGUAAUGGCCUACCAAGGCGUCGACGGGUAGCCGGCCUGAGAGGGUGUACGGCCACAUUGGGACUGAGAUACGGCCCAGACUCCUACGGGAGGCAGCAGUGGGGAAUAUUGCACAAUGGGCGCAAGCCUGAUGCAGCGACGCCGCGUGGGGGAUGACGGCCUUCGGGUUGUAAACUCCUUUCGCUAGGGACGAAGCGCAAGUGACGGUACCUGGAGAAGAAGCACCGGCUAACUACGUG
rnacentral:rRNA from 1 species